UGAGCAUUGCUCUGAACGGUGGGUGCAC
rnacentral:piRNA from 1 species